UGACAGGUAUUAGGGACAAUAUUCUCUACUAUUCCGAUAUAUGUCGUUAGAAAGAAACAAAAUGAAACGUAGAAGGGUGCUAAAGAGUGUUUAUUUUGUCACUAAUAUAUAUUUAAGCUCGAUCUAUGGUAGACUACUUUUGUGAUUGUUAUUUGCGAAUUUAAUUUUUCUAUUCAAUUAUUUUUAAUCAUUUAUUCUUGACAAUACAAUUUUGGGAAAGAAGAAUAACUCAUAUUUAUUGAGGAGGUGAAGAAAUAAAAGGAUAUUAUUGAAAAUAAAGUAACAAACAAAUUUUAUUCCAAUGAAAAGAUUCCAUCCAUAUCAUAUAGUACUGCAUCAACAAUUGGUUGAUCAUGAUUACGAGAGAAGCUUGGAUUAUUGCAACUGGUUACUGCAUAUGGUAUAUGACGACCCUCAAUUACUGUCACGUAUUUUGUGCUCAGACGAAGCUACAUUUAGUAGUGACAGUACAGUUAACUGGCAUAAUAUGCACUAUUAGUCACAAAAUAAUCCACGCUGGAUGGAAGAAGUUCACUAUCAGGGGCUAUGGUCGGUGAAUGUAUGGUAUUGUAGAUGGUCAGAUAAUUGGACCUUUUAUUUUUGACAAUGCAAUUAAUGGGGAACCCUACCUUAAUUUUAUAAGGGAUGAAUUAGCACUUCUAGAAGAUAUAUCACUAGCAAUUGUUGUUUCAGCACAAUGGGUGUCAGACGCAUUUCUCCAGACAAGUUAGAGAGUUUUUAGAUAUUGCUUACCCUGAUAGGUGGAUAGGACAUGGAGGCCUAUUUUUUGGGCCAGCCAGGUCACCAGACUUAGAUUUCUAUCUCGGGGGCCAGAUUAAAGACCUUGUUUGUCAAUUAGACCCACUACUACAGAUAACAUGAUCGAGAGAAUACAAAAUGCCAUUCAGAGUAUUUCGAGAGCAGAAAUUGAGACUGCUGUUCAAUCUAUUCUUCAAAGAACACUUGUAUCGAAAAUGAUAGGUAGCAAUUUGAACAUCUAGGUUAUCACUAGCGAGGUUGCUUAAGUUAUAUUUCCAUUUUAACUUCCAUAAAGCAGUUUUCCGAUGGCAUAUAAGCACAACUUACAUGUAUUUGACAAACACAGAGCAAUAGAGUUAUUUUAUUGUUCGAUGCUAAAUAACAAUACACAUUACUAUGCUGGCACUAAAUAAAUGUACAUUUUGCUAAUUUCCUCUCGCCAAAUAAUAGUAUGAAUUGCUCUGCAUACCUCAAAUGGAUUUACAUUUUGCCAUCUCAGCAGCUGCAUAACCCUGUGCCUUUGUUUCUGCUUCCUUGCCACGUGUUGUUUUAAGCAAGCAAGCACAUGUUGAUAAGUUGAACUUGAUUUUAAUACUCUAUUACAUAAUAAUGUGUGCAAAUGAUAUGGAGUUACCCCAAUCUUUUAAAUACAAAACGUAAGAAGUGACUAACAAUAGCCAUAUUAUAACAAUUUACACAAUCUAGAAGAAUGUGAUGUGAAUUCAAGAAUAUUCAAGAUUAAAUAACAAGAAAUGGAUUGUUCAUGAUAGCGCCCUCAACUUAAACAUUUUUGUGUGUACAAAGAAAUAUGUGUGCCAUCAUAGCUCAUUUAAAAAGAAAACCAACACAAACAAGAAAUUAGAGUAACUACAAAAAAUACGAUUGUAAAGCAUCUCCAUGUUAAGGAAGGUCUGCCGGCAGUAAUUACUAUAAAUAAUAAACAUAGACACUAAAGAUGCUUUGUCCGCAUUGCCAGCUUCAUCAGAAACUAGACAAUUGUUUGAAACGUACUUUGAUAAUGGCAUGGGUAUAACCAAAUCUAUUAAUUACCAUCUAAACAAACUUGAAUUAGAAGCGGAUGAAGAAGAUCUGGCCAAUGGUUCCAUAAACCCAAAAUAUCGUACAGUACGAUAUUGGUACAACAAAUGGCGAAGUGUUAAUUUAGGAUCGCGUUUUGGCAAAGUAAUGCUAGAGAAACUUCAAGAAAAGCAGCCACAGUAUACAGAAAAAGGUGUUACUAUAAAGGUCAAAGAAGAUCCUUUUACAGCUGUGAUAGUUACACAAAUCAGGAGAAGAGCGCAUAUUUUAUACUAUGCUGGGGAUAUAGUGUUUGUAGAGAGCGUGACGCUGUGACGCGAAAAAUCAUUCUAUAACUUUUAUCUUAAGAGUAUGAUCUGCAGGUGGUGUACCACUAGCAGUAAUUAUAAACAAGGGUCAAUCAAAACGCGACUACAUAGCAGGCUUUAAAAUGGUAAUAGAAGCUGUUGGAUAUUCGGCUUUUAGGGGAUAGCCAACCUAGGGUGUUUUAUGACAGAUGAUAGCGAAGCAGAGAGACAAGCCCUCAAUACAUUUUUUCCACAAUCACGUUUGUUACUUUGUUUUUUUUACAUCGCACAAUCAGCUUGGAGAUGGCUAAUUGGAAUAAAAAACAUAACAUACCAAAAGAAAAUAGGCAAAAGUUUUAUUAUUGAUUUAGAAAUAUAUUAACAGCCUCAUCUCCAGAAAACACAAAGAUUUAGUGCUUCUUCUGUGCUAAUUAAUUGCGUAAUUUUUAAUUUUUGUGCUUUUACCAUUUCGCUGAAAUCGAUGGCUGUGACAGCUUCCAAAAAAGCUAGCACAGCCAUACAUGAAAAAUUGUUUAUUUUGAUUUUUUCUGGCACAUCAAUUUAGUGCUAAUUAUGUGCUUUCAAAAUAUAACAUAAAAAACCAAUUUUGGAUCACGAUUGGUAAAAAAACCAACCCCAGCCCGUCGAGGUGCAAGAGUAAAGUCCUCGAAAUUCUCAGUAUAAUCGAACCUAAAUAGUCGAUUUCUAACGAAUUAAUAAUGUGCUUUCAAAAUAUUUAUGCAGAGUUUUUGUUGCUCUCAACCAUUCAUGGCAAAAAACCACCUCCAACCCGACGAGGUGCAAGAGUAAAGUCCCCGAAAUUAUCAGCACAAUCGAGCAUGAAUAGUCGAUUUCUAACGCAUUAAUAAUGAGCUUUUAAAAUACUUAUGUAGAGUUUUUGUUGCUCAACCCUUCAUUGCAAAAAACCACCCCUAGCCCGACGAGGUGCAAGACUAAAGUCCCCGAAAAUAUUAGCAUAAUCGAACUUGAAUUGUCGAUUUUGAAUGCAUUAAUAAAUAAUUGCUCAAUUCUUCAUGUUAAAAAACGAUCUUCAGCUUGAUGAAAUCCAAGAGUACAUCAGCACAAUCGGAUAGAAACAGUUGAUGCACGUUAUGAUGAUAAUGUUUUUAAGAAUUACUCAUAUGGCAAUUUCUUUACUCCACUCUUUCUAAACUAAAUUAAUUUUAAACGCUAUGCUUAAUACAUGAACUCCAAUGUUCAUCUACUCGAGAACUGGUUAGAAGAAAAAUCUGAAAAUAUUUGUAUAGAAAUAUGUAACACUAAAGAAUAUAUUUACCAAAUUUUAUUGCAUUGCAAGCAUUUUAAAAUUUUUUAUGUUAAUAUAGUUUAGCAUAGAAACAUUGUAUUGACGGUCACCAAGUUCCUGAUUUUUUGUUUGUCGCUCGUUUUUAAAUUCAACACUACAAUUAAUUAUUAGUUACCGAUCAUUCCUGCUCAAAAAGUUGUAUUGCCAUAUUGCCAAUGUUGGUAUUGCAGUCGAUUACGGCAAUAUCCCCUUCUUGUUGACGUUUUGGACGCCGUUCCUCGUAUCCGAUACUCGUGAGAAAAUGUCGACCAAAAUUUCUGUCUGUUUUCGAUACGACUGUGACCCCAGACCGUUGACCAUUACUCUAUCAACCAGAGAGUAAAUGAAUGUACAGGGUGCGGCAGCAUAACUUCCUUUUUUCAAAAGUUAAUAAAACUUAUUGUAUGAAUCAGAAAAUUUUUAUUCGUUUUUUAUAAUACAGGCACAUACAUAAAGUUUUGUUUUACUGAGUUUUGAAGAUCAAAUCAGUUAGGUGACGUCCCCCAUUCUCCAUACACUGAGUAAACCGAUUUCUGGCGUUUGUCAUGACUCUUGCCAGCAUAGCAGGCGUUAUGUUGGCAAUUUCUUCCUGGAUGUUCGUCUUCAAAUCUUGUAGGGUCCUUGGACGGUUCACAUACACACGGGAUUUCAAAAAACCCCAUAGGAAAUAAUCACAAGGGGUCAAAUCGGGAGAGCGGGCUGGCCACUCCAAAUCGCCCCUAAUUGAGAUAAGGCGCUCUGGGAAGUGUUCCCUCAAAACAGCCAUCGAUGUUCUUGAAGUGUGUGCCGUUGCUCCGUCUUGUUGGAACCAAGUGUCCCCUAAGUCCAACUCAUCUAGCCGUGGGAAAAAAAAUUACUGUAACAUGUUUACAUACCGGUGCGAAUUCACUGUCACUGUGACUUCAUUUUCCUCAAAGAACCAGGGACCAAUAAUUCCACGUGAGUAAAUUGCACACCACACUGUGACUUUAGGUGAAUGCAAAGGCCGUUGAUGCAAUUGUCGAGGAUUGGUAUCAGCCCAGUAGCGCAUGUUUUGUUUGUUUACGGAUCCACACAAAUGAAAAUGGGCUUCAUCACUAAAAAAAACAAUAGCGUCCUCAGGAACGACUUCCAGAAAAACCUCACACGCGUUCCUCCGAGAAUUGAAGUCACGUUCAGAAAGUUCCUGCACAAUUGCCAUCUUGUAUGGAUGAAAAUGAAGAUCAUCAUGAAGUAUUCUCCUCACAGAACGAUCGGAAAGUCCAAGGGCAGACGCAUGUUUGCGCGCAGAACGCCGUGGUGAUCGCAACACUGAAGUUCUAA